rnacentral:rRNA from 1 species
UACGGAGGGUGCAAACGUUGCUCGGAAUCAUUGGGCGUAAAGCGCACGUAGGCGGCCUGUUAAGUCGGGUGUGAAAGCCCUGGGCUCAACCCAGGAAGUGCACUCGAAACUGGCGGGCUUGAAUAUGGAAGAGGGUCGCGGAAUUCCCGGUGUUAGAGGUGAAAUUCGUAGAUAUCGGGAGGAACACCAGUGGCGAAGGCGGCGAGCC